rnacentral:lncRNA from 10 species
GGAAAAAGGAAGAGACUUUGAGGUCAAAGGGAAGGAGGUGAACAGAGAUGGGAAAAGGCGUUGCAGGUCAACAAGUCCCAGGCUGUUGGACAGUGAUCCAGAAAGAGAGUGAGAGCUCAGAGGUGAGCCGCUGUGUGGGAGCUCCUGGAGAUACAAGAUACAAGGAGUGGGGAUUCCCAUUCCCCCAGGAUGCCAGCCAGAGCACCUGGACCCAGUGAGACCUCUGGGACAGUGGACAUCUCAGUAGUGACCAGAAGGUCUCUGGCCCUGCAAAAGCAUUUAGGAACUUGUCCACAAACUGGAACUUGUCCACAAAUUGUCCAAGACUGAGACAAUUCCUCCUGACAUGAAAGGGAUGGGAACUCACAAUUUGAUUUAAGUUGAUUCACAAAAAUAACAAGAUGUCAUAUUCCUCACUUCCUUAGUCUGUGGAUUAAGAUUCAUAUCUGCUACUCAUUUGACUGCCUACUACGUGUUAGGCAAUGCAGUAGGGUUUUCAAACAUGUUUUAUCAUGUAAACUUCAAAACAACACUCCUAUGGAUUUGAACC